rfam:Pseudorhodoferax sp. Leaf274 contig_2, whole genome shotgun sequence.
GGGGCUGCAUUGGUUUCGACGUGGGUUCGGAAUCGUGGCGGUGCAUGUCGAGCUGAAUGCGCUCGUUAAACAGAUUCAAACAAACUAACUGCAAACGACGAACGUUUCGCACUCGCUGCUUAAACACCAGUGAGCCUUACAACAGCAUGCCGACGGGCUGGGCAAGGGGUGACGGAUGCAAAUCCUGAGCUCCCGGCUGUAAGGUUAUUUACGUUGGCUGGCUCCCUGCCGGGUACCUUGGCAUGGGGCGAGAUCCAAGGGUACUGGCGUCUCGUAGAGCGUGCGGCUGCGCGCUACGGGAAGUGAGAUCCAAAACAGACCGCUAAACAUGUAGAUCUGCGCGAAGAUGGCUUGCGGACGGGGGUUCAAAUCCCCCCAGCUCCACCA